UUCAACAACCAUUUAAAUGUCUGCUUUAGCAAAAUAUCUGUUCACCUGUAUAUACCAGCAAAACAUGACAUAACCGAGUUUCCAAAGAAAACAGAAAUUGCCACUUCACUUGGUGGUUUGCUUCAGAGAUUCUUACACAACAAUACAAGACUGGAACUGCCACUGAUGUGAAGGAGCAAUCUAUCUGAGGCCCAAACAAUCUCUGAAAACUUGAAAGAAAAUAUAGCUUGAGGCUGAAGAUAGUGGAGGACCACUGUCAUGAGGAGCAAACAGGAUUGCCCAAGAUCCAAAUGAUGUUUGGCUGUGUGUCUCUGCAUCUGUUUCCAUCAGUUUCUGGGUGAAGCAUCUCUGAUAACAACUGGACUAGGAGUGAUGACUAGAUGCCCAUGAAAAUGAAUGAAAAUCUACAACUGACAGGGGCAAGGAGGUGGGGACAUCUCCAGGCCAAGACAUUGA